CGCACCUUGCACCUCUUGGUAUUCCGAGAGGUACAUCUGUUUGAGUGUCAUGAAUCCCUCAACCUCUACACUUUCUUGUAAAGUGCGGAAGCGUUGGAUGCUGAGCGCUGCUGUCUAAAACACAGCUCGCUUCAAAUGUAUAAGCAAUCUUUGUACUCCUCGGAUUGACUUGGCGUGAUAAAAUCUUCGUCAAGGAUGCUUUACAGCAGCCGAAUGGUAUCGCAGAUGCUACCAAACCGUCGCACUUGUGCCACACUUUUAUUUUAGACCUCAAAUCAGAUGGGACUACCCGCUGAACUUAA
rnacentral:misc_RNA from 1 species